rnacentral:rRNA from 1 species
AUGGAGGGCGAGGCGCCGCAGUCGCACCAGCUGCUCCUGCACGGCGUCAGCCUGGACCUGCGCCUCGACACGGCCACGGCCACGCACCAGCUGCGCGGCGCCCGGCGCCCGGCGUCCCCUGCGCCUACUCCCGUGGCCUUCGACCAGGCCGGCAAGGAGGCCUUCUCCUGCAACUACUGCCAGCGCAAGUUCCUCAGCUCGCAGGCGCUCGCCGGCCACCAGAACGCCCACAAGCUCGAGCGCACCCUCGCCAAGCGCAGCCGCGACGCCUCCUCCACCGCCGCCACGGCAGCUCAAACUGCCACGCCAUCCUCUCACUGGCCCCACGCCGGCGGCGGGGAGCUCUGGGCGUACUCUGCUUCGGCCGCUGCCCCGGAUUCCACGACGAUGGCGCCCCUGAUGGGCAUGGGCUGGGCUGGUAGCACCACAGCAGCCACCGGGGAGGCGGUGCCGGAGAUGGACCUGUCGCUCAAGCUCUGA